rnacentral:rRNA from 1 species
AGGGGCAGCAUGGUCUUAGCUUGCUAAAGACUGAUGGCGACCGGCGCACGGGUGAGUAACACGUAUCCAACCUGCCGUCUACUCUUGGACAGCCUUCUGAAAGGAAGAUUAAUACAAGAUGGCAUCAUGAGUCCGCAUGUUCACAUGAUUAAAGGUAUUCCGGUAGACGAUGGGGAUGCGUUCCAUUAGAUAGUAGGCGGGGUAACGGCCCACCUAGUCUUCGAUGGAUAGGGGUUCUGAGAGGAAGGUCCCCCACAUUGGAACUGAGCCACGGUCCAAACUCCUACGGGAGGCAGCAGUGAGGAAUAUUGGUCAAUGGGCGAGAGCCUGAACCAGCCAAGUAGCGUGAAGGAUGACUGCCCUAUGGGUUGUAAACUUCUUUUAUAAAGGAAUAAAGUCGGGUAUGUAUACCCGUUUGCAUGUACUUUAUGAAUAAGGAUCGGCUAACUCCGUGCCAGCAGCCGCGGUAAUACGGAGGAUCCGAGCGUUAUCCGGAUUUAUUGGGUUUAAAGGGAGCGUAGAUGGAUGUUUAAGUCAGUUGUGAAAGUUUGCGGCUCAACCGUAAAAUUGCAGUUGAUACUGGAUAUC